rnacentral:rRNA from 1 species
CUAUUAUUUUGAAUGUUAAUUUUUUACCUGGGUAUUAUUAGUUAUAUUCUUUAAACCCAAAGAAUUUGGCGGUAUCUUAUUCCAUUUAGAGGAACCUGUCCCGUAAUUGACAGUACACGAUUAACUUUACUUAAUUUAUUUAUUUGUAUAUCUCCGUUAUCAGAAAAUCUUUUUAAAGUUAUAAUUUUCUAGAUUUAUGAUUUUAAGUUAUUUCAGGUCAAGGUGCAGUUUAUGGUUAAGUGGAGAUGGGUUACAAUAUAUUUUUUUAUAUUAUGGAUUUAAUUUUGUAAUUUUUUAAUGAAGGUGGAUUUAAUAGUAAUUUAAUUUAUUUAAUUUAAGUGAUAUUGGCUCUUGGGUGUGU